AGAGCAGCUACCUGGACAGCUGUUAAUGUUCCAGAAAGCCGUUGUAGCACUUCUCAAGUGCCUUACUUCUUAUUUGCUUCGUUUGAAUUGCCUUCAACUUUUGGAAGAAGUUUUUGCUGCCACACCUUCAUUAUAUGAACUUUGGACUUUUGUGAUCACACACCAGGUUUUUGGUUUGAUUGUUGUAUCAUUAUUGACCUAUUCUGUGAGAUACAUCUCCUUUUAUUUA